rnacentral:rRNA from 1 species
AAUAUUUUGAACCGCAUGGUUCAAAAGUGAAAGACGGUCUUGCUGUCACUUAUAGAUGGAUCCGCGCUGCAUUAGCUAGUUGGUAAGGUAACGGCUUACCAAGGCAACGAUGCAUAGCCGACCUGAGAGGGUGAUCGGCCACACUGGAACUGAGACACGGUCCAGACUCCUACGGGAGGCAGCAGUAGGGAAUCUUCCGCAAUGGGCGAAAGCCUGACGGAGCAACGCCGCGUGAGUGAUGAAGGUCUUCGGAUCGUAAAACUCUGUUAUUAGGGAAGAACAUAUGUGUAAGUAACUGUGCACAUCUUGACGGUACCUAAUCAGAAAGCCACGGCUAACUACGUGCCAGCAGCCGCGGUAAUACGUAGGUGGCAAGCGUUAUCCGGAAUUAUUGGGCGUAAAGCGCGCGUAGGCGGUUUUUUAAGUCUGAUGUGAAAGCCCACGGCUCAACCGUGGAGGGUCAUUGGAAACUGGAAAACUUGAGUGCAGAAGAGGAAAGUGGAAUUCCAUGUGUAGCGGUGAAAUGCGCAGAGAUAUGGAGGAACACCAGUGGCGAAGGCGACUUUCUGGUCUGUAA